AUUUGAAACUCCAGUCAACACUGCGGCCACAAAAACACAUAAAGGCGACAAAGCACUGUGACAAAACACCUCAGCAGCCAGGGAUGUGGCUGAGGGUUGACUCUGCUGUUGUCAAGGCAGCACUCUAAUUUGGCUUAACCCACAGCCUUGAGACUUCAUGGCAGCCCAGACGAGACGACGCAGGUGUGGACUCAUCUCGGCUGCACACGGACUCUGAAGAUACUCUCUGCCACUUCCUUAUUCCACAAUUUAUCCCAUAAUCUCAUCAUGUCUCCUGUCAGGCCGGGUGUCGGCCGGGGUCAGUGGCUUAGCACAUCCAUCACCAUGACUGACAGUGGGGACUCACAAGUCCCAGAGCUUUGAUGUCUAACCUUCACGAGGUGUCAUUCGAUUGACCCAAGCAGUCAUAUGACAGGCAGAUUGAGACCCACUGAGAACCUCGUUUUGUUCCACUAUAACGGAACAUCUGGAUAGCAUCUUUGCACUGAUCGUUAAUCUAAACACGACUGCACAACUAAUUCUUGUGUACUGUACUGAACACACAGUAAAAAUGGCAU